UAGCCGCAGAACUGUUCGGGCAU
rnacentral:miRNA from 1 species